rnacentral:misc_RNA from 1 species
UUGAUCGUUUGAUUGUUAGGAUUUGUACAUUGUAGAGGAACAAUUUUCUAGAAUAUGGGAUUUCUAUUAUGAUUACGAGACUGAAAUUUAGAAAUCAAAUAGUUUUUUGGUCUAAUUUUGUUUAAGUAUUUCUUCCCACAUAUGUAUCUUCGAUAAUUAGCUCUGUACAGUUUUCUUAUGAAUUUGAUUGCAGUGCAAAGGCCACCUUAUUCCUCAUUUAGUACCCAAAUCAAUACAAUGUUGUUACCAGUGUGAUCAUUGUAACAGAUUGCUAUCUCCUAUGUAUGAAAUACGCAGUACUAUACCUGAUCCCAAUUCUGGGUUGGGGUCUGAUGAAAAUGUUCACUAUUUGGCUUUACUAGUUUCAGUCGCAGCCAGUGUGAUCAUUCUCUUUGUUAUGGUUGUAUGUGUAUAUCUGCAUUACAAAAAGAAAGACGAACAAGUUUCCAUUAUCAAAGCUCCUUGUGUACCAUACCUUCGAGGAAAUUCAACGAUCAAGGACAUGUUAGAUCAUAGCCAGAGUUCUGGUUCUGGUUUACCUUUACUGGUUUAAAGAACAAUAGCCAAGCAGUUAGUUAUGGGCCAUUCCAUAGGUAAAGAUUGAUAUGGUGAAGUUUUGAUGGCCAAAUGGAUGGAAGAAAAAGUUGCUGUCAAGGUGUUUUUCACAACUGAAGAAGCUUCUUGAUUUAGAGAAACAGACAUUUACUCACUGUACUCCUACGUUGACUGUACUCAUGAGACAUUCUGGGUUUCAUUGCUGCUGAUAUCAAAGGAACGGGCUCUCUUGGACAUAUAUGUUACCUACUCAUUACCGACUAUCAUGAACUUGGAUCUUUAUUACACGAUUUUCUUCAACAAUAUUCUCCUGGCGGAGUAGCAGCUGGAAGGUUAGCAUUUACGUAAGACGUUUAUGUUGAGGAUCUCGAUUUCUUCAUGCUGGCAUUCAUGAGAAUUUGUUUUACAACAUCAAUAGCAACUACACCCAAUAUUUUUCUUGUUCAUGUUAAACUGCAACUCACGUUCUUUAACAUCUGAAAUUUAUUAUUAACAUUAAUUUGGAAAUUCAAGUUUUCAUCAUAAUAAAUCAUGCAAUUAAAUUAAUAAUGUAAUUAUAUUCGCAAAUUAUACAUAUUUAUUGUUA